UACGGAGGGUGCAAGCGUUAUUCGGAAUUACUGGGCGUAAAGCGCGUGCAGGCGGGAGAAGCAGUCUGAUGUGAAAGCCCCGGGCUUAACCCGGGAAGUGCAUUGGAAACUUUUCUUCUUGAGUACUGGAGAGGAAGGGGGAAUUCCCGGUGUAGAGGUGAAAUUCGUAGAGAUCGGGAGGAAUACCAGUGGCGAAGGCGCCCUUCUGGACGGUAACUGACGCUGAGACGCGAAAGCGUGGGGAG
rnacentral:rRNA from 1 species